rnacentral:lncRNA from 1 species
GUUGUAGAUCUGAAAGCAGAGUAUACAAGGGAGAAGGUCGGGUCAUGCCGGUCACCCCCUAAACAUGGAGGAAGAGUCUCGGACGUCAGUCAGGAGAUCAAGCGCGUCCCACCACAAGUCUGGCACAUGCAAGGACGAAAUAGACUACGAGAUGUAGUGACAGACUGGGUGAAGUGAGAGAGGAGUUAGGAGUGGCCGUUAUAAAGGCCUGACUCAGCAGUCCCAAGUCACUUAUAACAUAAAGAUAAAGACCGGCGUCCCAACAACUCUGCACACUACCAGCAUCUUUGCACACUACCGAACUUCUGAGAGCUACGUCGGUUUCAUCCCAGCUGUGUGUGAUAUAGCAGUCCAUCUCAUGUCUGCCUCUUCAGAAGAGGACGCAGACUGAGGAGGCGUGCGGUCCGACACGUGUAGGGGCUGGGCCGUUUCAAGUCGUUCAUUGGAGGCGUAGGUCAUCAGGAAUUGUUCGGUCUUGGUGUCAAAGGUUCUGCUACUACUGGAGGGAGAACCAAACCAGCGUGUCCGAUCAACCCCCGACUUGAUGCAGGAUACUGGCUCCUCUUGCACUGGAACACGGUUUCGCUGCACCUUCCCCGGAGGAACUGAACCCUACCUCGAACCAGCUUCUCCAGGGAAGGGGGACACACUGGCUCGCUCCACCUUCCACGGAGGAAUUGGACCCUGCCUCGCACCAGCUCUGUCGCAGCUGGUAACACGGUGGUGCCAUCCAGGGAGGGAAGUCACACUUCCUCGCUGCACCAUCCGCGGGGGGAUUUGACCCUGCCUCGCACCAGCUUUGUCCUGGUUACGUGAUGCCAUCCAUGGAGGAAUUGGACACUGCCUCGCACCAUAUGUCCUGGUAAUGUGGUGCCAUCCAUGGAGGAAGGACAGACUAGCCUGCUUCAUCUAACCUAACUAAUAAUAAAUGUUGCCAUCACUCUUGUAAAGUUCAUUAUUCCUUCCAUCUAAUGUGAAUGUACCCACAGUGUAAUGUUGUUUAUUAAUCCUUCCAUGUUCUGUGAUGUACCCACAUGACUGUUGUUAGUACUUAGUAAUAAAUCAUGGUUGAAUUAAUA